rnacentral:rRNA from 1 species
AUGAACGCUGGCGGCGUGCCUAAUACAUGCAAGUCGAGCGAACGGACGAGAAGCUUGCUUCUCUGAUGUUAGCGGCGGACGGGUGAGUAACACGUGGAUAACCUACCUAUAAGACUGGGAUAACUUCGGGAAACCGUAGCUAAUACCGGAUAAUAUUUUGAACCGCAUGGUUCAAAAGUGAAAGACGGUCUUGCUGUCACUUAUAGAUGGAUCCGCGCUGCAUUAGCUAGUUGGUAAGGUAACGGCUUACCAAGGCAACGAUGCAUAGCCGACCUGAGAGGGGGAUCGGCCACACUGGAACUGAGACACGGUCCAGACUCCUACGGGAGGCAGCAGUAGGGAAUCUUCCGCAAUGGGCGAAAGCCUGACGGAGCAACGCCGCGUGAGUGAUGAAGGUCUUCGGAUCGUAAAACUCUGUUAUUAGGGAAGAACAUAUGUGUAAGUAACUGUGCACAUCUUGACGGUACCUAAUCAGAAAGCCACGGCUAACUACGUG